UAGAAAGUCGAAAUUUAAGUGAAAGCGUUGGGACUAACUUCAUUCAGCGGAAGGCAAUCACUCCGCGCCUCACUUUCCCCUCACUAAAAGGAAUAACUUUGAGAUCAUUGAAUGUGAAUAAUAUGCAUAUAGGCGCAGGAGUGGCUGUGUGAUGAAACCAUGGCGCUGUGGAUGAUAGAGCAUUGUGUGUUUGCCUAUGACAGUUACAUGAAGAAUAAUGAGUCUGUCACAGCAGUUCAGAGUGAGUUUUGGUGUCACUUCAACAUUCACCGACAUCAGGCUGUUCCCACCUGUAACACAAUCUUAUAUUAGGUGAAUGCACUUUGUACACAAGGUACACUACUAAUGAAUAGGAGACCGAUGGGGGCACCGUGAAUGGUAUGGACCCCGGAAAAUGUGGAAUGCGUCAGACAAGCUUUGAUACAGAGUCCAAACUGCUCUGCUUGGAAGCAUUCCACUGAACCUGGCAUCAGUAAUCUAUCAGCAAGGCAUAUUUUGCAUGAAGACCUGUAUUUCCACCCUUACAAACUGGUCAUUGAGCAACAGUUGAAACCAUGGGAUUAUGCACAGUGGCUUAACUUUGCAUGUCAGAUGGGAGCAAUUUUUGAGACAAAUGACAACCUCAUUUUGUUAAUGAGAGACGAAGCUCAUUUUCAUCUCAAUGGCAUGGUGAAUCAACAGAACUGUCAUUAUUGGGCUCUUGAUAAUCUGAGAGAACUGCACAGCCCAUAGUGACGGUCUGGUGUGCUGUUGGAAAAGCUGCCAUCAUUGGACCUUACAUUUUUGUAGACAAUAUUGGAAAUGCUGUUACUGUGAACUCUGAGUGUAACAUUGAGAUGAUAAACAACUUGACGAAAAUGAAUGCCCAUUCGACAAGUGUGGCUUCAGCAGGAUGGAGCGACGGUCCACACAGCCAGGGCAUCAAUGGAUGUUCUUCACCCUCUCUUCGGUGACCACCUCAUUUCCGGGUUUACUGAUAUUCCUUCCCCCAAG